CUACUGCCUACGGGACGCAGCAGUGGGGAAUAUUGCACAAUGGGCGCAAGCCUGAUGCAGCCAUGCCGCGUGUGUGAAGAAGGCCUUCGGGUUGUAAAGCACUUUCAGCGAGGAGGAAGGUGGUGAGCUUAAUACGUUCAUCAAUUGACGUUACUCGCAGAAGAAGCACCGGCUAACUCCGUGCCAGCAGCCGCGGUAAUACGGAGGGUGCAAGCGUUAAUCGGAAUUACUGGGCGUAAAGCGCACGCAGGCGGUUGUUAAGUCAGAUGUGAAAUCCCCGGGCUCAACCUGGGAACUGCAUUUGAAACUGGCAAGCUAGAGUCUCGUAGAGGGGGUAGAAUUCCAGGUGUAGCGGUGAAAUGCGUAGAUCAGUAG
rnacentral:rRNA from 1 species